rnacentral:rRNA from 1 species
CCUACGGGAGGCAGCAGUGGGGAAUUUUCCGCAAUGGGCGCAAGCCUGACGGAGCAAGACCGCGUGAGGGAGGAAGGCUCUUGGGUUGUAAACCUCUUUUAUCAGGGAAGAAGAUCUGACGGUACCUGAUGAAUCAGCAUCGGCUAACUCCGUGCCAGCAGCCGCGGUAAUACGGAGGAUGCAAGCGUUAUCCGGAUUUAUUGGGCGUAAAGCGUCCGCAGGUGGUUAUUCAAGUCUGCUGUUAAAGCGCGAGGCUUAACUUCGUACAGGCAGUGGAAACUGGAUGACUGGAGUAUGGUAGGGGUAGCGGGAAUUCCCAGUGUAGCGGUGAAAUGCGUAGAUAUUGGGAAGAACACCAGCGGCGAAAGCGCGCUACUGGGCCAUUACUGACACUCAUGGACGAAAGCUAGGGGAGCGAAAGGGAUUAGAUACCCCUGUAGUCCUAGCUGUAAACGAUGGGUACUAGGUGUUGACCGUAUCGACCCGGUCAGUGCCGUAGCUAACGCGUUAAGUACCCCGCCUGGGGAGUAUGCNCGCAGUAGUAGUAACGUUAAAGGUAAAGUUAGUACGGCGUGAGACGUGCCGAACGGACGACGACGAGGGAGGUAGG